GAGGGUAUAGUUUAGUGGUAGAGUGCAUGCCUAGCAUGCUUGAGGUCCUGGGUUCGAUUCACAGUAGCUCCA
rnacentral:tRNA from 1 species